rnacentral:rRNA from 1 species
GACGUAGGGCGCGAGCGUUGUCCGGACUUAUUGGGCGUAAAGAGCUCGUAGGCGGCUCGUUGCGUCGGCUGUGAAAACCCGCAGCUCAACUGUGGGCUUGCAGCUGAUACGGGCGGGCUGGGAUUCGGUAGGGGAGACUGGAAUUCCUGGUGUAGCGGUGAAAUGCGCAGAUAUCAGGAGGAACACCGGUGGCGAAGGCGGGUCUCUGGGCCGAUAUCGACGCUGAGGAGCGAAAGCGUGGGGAGCGAACAGG